rnacentral:misc_RNA from 1 species
GGGCAGAUGCAGAACACUUCUGAUUUAGCCAACUCUCGAUUGGCAUGAUGGAAGCAUUGAGCAACAAGUAUCCAACAUAUCAGCUGGCUGGCUGGACUAACCUUUCAUUUUGGUCAGCACCAUGAGAUUUCUGACUCUUUUUUCAGUUGAAACUGUCAUUCCAUGCCAAACACUAUUUUCAGCUGGCCAGACUUUUUCUUCACUUACCGUCAAUCACUGUUCAAUGAGGUGUCUCCCCAUUUUAGGGUCUGAUUCACAGUUGGAAACUACUUUGCAUUAGUUUGAGAUACAUCUGCCAAACAAUAAUCACCCAUUUCCUCAAAUUAUUGUCCUUGUAGUCAACUGAAUCAGCAACUCCGGACUUUCCAGCACUGCGAAGUGAAAAUGAGCCAUCUAUGCUGGAAAAAGAUGAUUCUGAACAGCAAGACUAGCCUUUCCGAUUCUAAUUGCUGAUGGCGUUACUGAAUCUUAUUGCUGAUAAAC